CACAUGGAGCGAGGCGUCAUAUGUUGUCUGGCUCCCGGUGAAACAGCCAGACCUCACGUCCUCUGGCUGCGAUCUCCAGCAUACUAAACCAGACCGAGAGGGGGGGUUGCGUCAACCUUAACAUCUCUACAAUAGGCUACCGUGCGUAAAUGCAAACUUCAACACCUUGCAGCGCAAUCAGCAAAUCAUCACGGCGCUGACGUCAACGCAGCCAGUCAGCCAGACGAGCAGCAGGCAGACGGGCAGCCGCUGCUGCGCUCCAGCCCAUACAAACACUGAGAAAGUGAGACACCUAGGGGGCUGUCUCAUGUCAAACGGCUGUGUUACAGUAUGGCAGUGAAAGGCUACGACCUCUCUGACGACAGUGUUAAAGAGCUGCAAAUCCUGAAAGACGGUGGGGAAAACAGAUCAUAUAAUCAAUAAUUAAUGU